rnacentral:lncRNA from 1 species
UCGAGGUAAAUUUCGUACCCACGACUCGUUUUUCCACGCUGAUUCCUCCUGUGGCCAAAUCGGAGCCAAAAUCUCGGCCAAACGGCCGGAAUGCACGGCCGAAUCCCAGCGGCGCCGCCGCGCCCUUCUCGGUUUUUGCCUCCGAUGAGGCCCUUCCCGGCCUCCGUUUGAUGCAAAUUUUAUAUCACCGUGAUCACCACUCUUUUCUCUACAGGUUGAC